rnacentral:rRNA from 1 species
GACGAACGCUGGCGGCGUGCUUAACACAUGCAAGUCGAACGGAAAGGCCCUGCUUUUGUGGGGUGCUCGAGUGGCGAACGGGUGAGUAACACGUGAGUAACCUGCCCUUGACUUUGGGAUAACUUCAGGAAACUGGGGCUAAUACCGGAUAGGAGCUCCUGCUGCAUGGUGGGGGUUGGAAAGUUUCGGCGGUUGGGGAUGGACUCGCGGCUUAUCAGCUUGUUGGUGGGGUAGUGGCUUACCAAGGCUUUGACGGGUAGCCGGCCUUAGAGGGUGACCGGCCCCAUUGGGACUGAGAUACGGCCCAGACUCCUACGGGAGGCAGCAGUGGGGAAUAUUGCACAAUGGGCGGAAGCCUGAUGCAGCAACGCCGCGUGCGGGAUGACGGCCUUCGGGUUGUAAACCGCUUUCGCCUGUGACGAAGCGUGAGUGACGGUAAUGGGUAAAGAAGCACCGGCUAACUACGUG